rnacentral:lncRNA from 1 species
AUGGGGAAACAGUGGAAACAGUGGCUGACUUUACUUUUCUGGGCUCCAAAAUCACUGCAGAUGGUGAUUGCAGCCAUGAAAUUAAAAGACGCUUANNNNNNNNNNNNNNNNNNNNNNNNNNNNNNNNNNNNNNNNNNNNNNNNNNACUUUAUUUUUUGGGGCUCCAAAAUCACUGCAGAUGGUGACUGCAGCCAUGAAAUUAAAAGACGUUUACUCCUUGGAAGAAAAGUUAUGACCAACCUAGAUAGUAUAUUCAAAAGCAGAGACAUUACUUUGCCAACAAAGGUCCGUCUAGUCAAGGCUCUGGUUUUUCCAGUGGUCAUGUAUGGAUGUGAGAGUUGGACUGUGAAGAAAGCUGAGCGCCAAAGAAUUGAUGCUUUUGAACUGUGGUGUUGGAUCUCCUUGCAGUUCAAGGGAUUCUCAGGAGUCUUCUCCAACACCACAGUUCAAAAGCAUCAAUUCUUCAGUGCUCGGCUUUCUUGACAGUCCAACUCACAUCCACAUACGACCAUUGAAAAGCCAUAGCUUUGACUAGACAGACCUCUGUUGGCAAACUAAUAUCUCUGCUUUUUAAUAUGCUAUCUAGGUUGGUCAUAACUUUUCUUUAGUAAGAACCAAAUAGAAGAGAUGCAGAGCAAGAUGAUGGAUAUGGGGGAGGCCAGAGUUUCCAUGCUUUCUCUGGACACAGAGAAGCACAUCAACAUGUUUACUGUCCCAGAAGCUUUCCACGUCUCUUGAUUCAAGAAUUCUUACUGAAGUUUCAUUACUUCAGUGCAACUGAUUAAAUCAUCAGUCACUGGUGAUUGCACUCCAUCUCAGUCCCUUCCUCCCCACAGAUCUGAAAGUGGGCUUGAAAGUUCCAAUCAUCACUUGGUCUUGCUUGGUCUUUCUGGUAAGAAACCCUGAAGUUAUCUAGGAGUUCUGCUUUGACUCACCUCAUUAACGUAAACCUAGGUGUGGUUGAAUGACACUCAUUACGAAUAACAAAAGACACUUUUAUCACUCAGAAAAUUGCAGGAAGUUUUAGGAGUUUUGUUCCAGGGACUGGGAACAAAAGCCAAAUAUAUAUGUUUCACUAUAAGGCAGGUACACAAGUUUGUAGUCAUGGAAUCAAUUAUAAAGAAUUUGUUCUCUCUGAAGCCAUCUAUAAACAACUUUAAUACACACAUAGUUGCACUUCCCAGGUGGCUCUAGUGGUAAAGAACCUGCCUGCCAAUGUAGGAGACUUGAGUUCGAUCCCCAGGUCAGAAAGAUCACCUGGAGGAGGGCAUGACAAUCCACUCCUAUAUUCUUGCCUAGAGAAUCCCAUGGAGAGAGGAGCCUGGCAGGUUACAGUCCCUGGGGUUGCAAAGGGUUGGACAUGACUGAAGUAACUUAGCAAGCAACACUCACACAAACAGUGCUAUCAGCUGUGUCCACUCUACUACCCCCAUUCAGAACUUGCCCUAGUCUUAUGUAGCUUCCAGUGUCAAGACUGUCUGUCCAGUGCUAUGUCAGAUUCAGUAAGAAGCCAAAGGCUAAUGUAUGAUUUGACAAAUUUGAUGAGAGACAGGAGGCUUUAGAGAUCCAAUGAAAGAUGUGAGUCAUUCAGUGACAAACAGUAGUAGAAACCCACCAUUACCCAGAGAUCUGGAAGACAAAGAUGGGAAGUACCAUCACUGUAAACUGGGGAGUGCUGGAGUGGUAGAAGAGGGGCUCCAGAUUUGUAGCUGCAAUUCUAAAGGGACAUCAUCCUGACAGGACUCUAGGUGCCAGAAAAGAGAGGGAAAGGGAAAAUAGUUCAUACUCUUUAUUCUCCAGCCAUCCAGUCUCCUAUCUGUUCCUCAUAUGAUUAGGUGAGCCAGGGAGGCGUAGUCAUUAACUCAAUAAUGUUAUGAUACACAACAGGGAAGAGAAAAAAACAAUCAUUUAUGGAAGAAAAUAGGGAAAUAGCAUUACAGUUUCUCAGUUUCUGCUCAAAUUCAUACCUUUUCGAUGACUUUCAUGACCACAGCACAGUGGCCCAAUUAACAGUUCAGUUCACUUUAGUCAUUCACUUGUGUCUGAUUCUUUGCAACCCCAUGGAGUGCAGCACGCCAGGCUUUCCUAUUCAUCACCAACUUGCAGAGUUUACUCAAACUCACAUCUAUUGAGUCAGUGAUGCCAUCCAACCAUCUCAUCCUCUGUCAUCCCCUUCUCCUCCUGCCUUCAGUCUUUUUCAAUGAGUCAGUUCUUCGCAUCAGGUGGACAAAGUAUUGGAGCUUCAGCUUCAGCAUCAGUUCUUCCAGUAAAUAUUCAGGACUGAUUUACUUUAGGAUGGACUGGUUGGAUCUUCUUGCAGUCCCAAGAGACUCAAGAUUUUUCUCCAAUAUCACAGUUCAAAAGCAUCAACUCUUUGUUGCUCAGCUUUCUUUAUAGUCCAACUCUCACAUCCAUACAUGACUAAUGGAAAAACCACAGCUUUGACUAGACAGAUCUUUGUUGGCAAAGUAAUGUCUCUGCGUUCUUAUAUGCCGUCUAGGUUGGUCAUAACUUUCCUUCCAAGGAGCAAGGGUCUUUUAAUUUUGUGGCUGCAUUCACCAUCUGCAGUGAUUUUGGAGCCCUAAAAAAUAAAGUCUGCCACUGUUUCCCCAUCUAUUUGCCACCAAGUGAUGGGACCAGAUGCCAUGAUCUUCGUUUUCUGGAUGUUGAGUUUUUAGAGAAAAAGUUUUAAGGAAAUUUUUUCACUCUCCUCUUUCACUUUCAUCAAGAGGCUCUUUAGUUCUUCUUUGCUUUCUGUCAUAAGGGUGGUGUCAUAUGCAUAUCUGAGGUUAAUGAAAUUUCUCUCAGCAAACUUGAUUCCAACUUGUGCUUCAUCCAGUCCAGUGUUUCUCAUGAUUUACUCUGCAUAUAAGUUAAAUAAACAGAGUGAAAAUAUACAGCCUUGACCUACUCCUUUCCCAAUUUAGAACCAGUCUGUUGUUACAUGCUUAGUUCUAACUGUUGCUUACUGACUUGCAUACAGAUUUUUCAAGAGCCAGGUCAGGGCUUCUGGUAUUCCCAUCUCUUGAAGAAUUUUCCACAAUUUGUUGAGAUCCACACAGUCAAAGGCUUUGGCAUAGUCAAUAAAGCAGAAAUAGAUGUUUUUCUGGAAUUCUCUUGCUUUCUUGACGAACCAACGGAUGUUGGCAAUUUGAUCUCUGGUUCCUUUGCCUUUUCUAAUUCCAGCUUGAGCAUCUGGAAGCUCACGGUUCACCCACUGUUGAAGCCUGGCUUAGAGAAUUUUGAGCAUUAAUUUUUUAGCGUGUGAGAUGAAUGCAAUUGUGUGGUAGUUUGAGCAUUCUUUGGCAUUGCCUUUAUUUGGGAUUGGAAUGAAAACUGACCUUUUCUAGUCCUGCGGCCAGUGCCAAGUUUUCCAAAUGUGCUGGCAUAUUGAGUGCAGCACUUUCACUGCAUCAUCUUUCAUGAUUUGAAUUAGCUCAACUGGAAUUCCAUCACCUCCACUAGCUUUGUUUGUAGUGACGCUUCCUAAGGCCCUCUUGACUUCACAUUCCAGGAUGUCUGGCUCUAGGUGAGUGAUCACACCAUCAUGAUCUUAUGGGUCAUGAAGAUCUUUUUUGUACAGUUCUUCUGUGUAUUCUUGCCACCUCUUCUUGAUAUUAUCUGCUUCUGUUAGGUCGAUAUCGUUUCUCUCCUUUAUUGAGCCCAUCUUUGCAUGAAAUGUUCCCUUGGUAUCUCUAAUUUUCUUGAAGAGAUCUCUAGUCUUUCCCAUUCCAUUGUUUUCCUCCAUUUGUUUGCACUGAUCACUGAGGAGAGCUAUCUUAUCUCUCCUUGCUAUUCUUCAGAAUUUUUCAUUCAAAUGGGUAUAUCUUUCUUUUUCUCCUUUACUUUUCACUUCUCUUCUUUUCACAACUAUUUGUAAUGCCUCUUUAGACAGCCCUUUUGCUUUUUUGCAUUUUUUCUCUUGGGAUAAUUUCUAGCUAGACCCCUGAGAUGCUCCUAAAUUUAUUUUAAUAGAUAGCAUAUUCUAUGUGUUGUAAUUCUGGUUUGAUGUAACCAAAUGCAAAUGUGUGUGUGUGUGUGUGUGUGUGUC